UUAAUUCGAAGCAACGCGAAGAACCUUACCAGCUCUUGACAUCUUCUGCCAACCUAAGAGAUUAGGUGUUCCCUUCGGGGACAGAAUGACAGGUGGUGCAUGGUUGUCGUCAGCUCGUGUCGUGAGAUGUUGGGUUAAGUCCCAUAACGAGCGCAACCCUUAUUGUUAGUUGCCAGCAUUCAGUUGGGCACUCUAGCGAGACUGCCGGUGAUAAACCGGAGGAAGGUGGGGAUGACGUCAAAUCAUCAUGCCCCUUAUGAGCUGGGCUACACACGUGCUACAAUGGCGCAUACAAAGAGAAGCGACCUCGCGAGAGCAAGCGGACCUCAUAAAGUGCG
rnacentral:rRNA from 15 species